rnacentral:rRNA from 1 species
GCGAACAGGAUUAGAUACCCUGGUAGUCCACGCCGUAAACGGUGGAUGCUGGAUGUGGGGCCCUUUCCACGGGUUCCGUGUCGGAGCUAACGCGUUAAGCAUCCCGCCUGGGGAGUACGGCCGCAAGGCUAAAACUCAAAGAAAUUGACGGGGGCCCGCACAAGCGGCGGAGCAUGCGGAUUAAUUCGAUGCAACGCGAAGAACCUUACCUGGGCUUGACAUGUUCCCGACGACGGCAGAGAUGUCGUUUCCCUUCGGGGCGGGUUCACAGGUGGUGCAUGGUCGUCGUCAGCUCGUGUCGUGAGAUGUUGGGUUAAGUCCCGCAACGAGCGCAACCCUCGCCCCGUGUUGCCAGCGCGUCAUGGCGGGAACUCACGGGGGACCGCCGGGGUUAACCCGGAGGAAGGCGGGGAUGACGUCAGAUCAUCAUGCCCCUUACGUCCAGGGCUUCACGCAUGCUACAAUGGCCGGUACAACGGGAUGCGACAUGGCGACAUGGAGCGGAUCCCUGAAAACCGGUCUCAGUUCGGAUCGCAGUCUGCAACUCGACUGCGUGAAGGCGGAGUCGCUAGUAAUCGCGAAUCAGCAACGUCGCGGUGAAUGCGUUCCCGGGCCUUGUACACACCGCCCGUCAAGUCAUGAAAGUGGGCAGCACCCGAAGCCGGUGGCCUAACCCUUGUGGGGGGAGCCGUCUAAGGUGAGGCUCGUGAUUGGGGCUAAGUCGUAACAAGGUAGCCGUACCGGAAGGUGCGGCUG